AUUAACUUGUACACUUUGGUGAGUUGGGGAUUUUUAUCUCUAGCAUGCAGGCAAAGAAACCACCCUGGGGCUGAAGUGCACCAGAUACCAAACCUAACAGGAUUGUGUAGUGUAUCCUUUAGAGAUAAUGAGUGCAGAGAUUGGCUGGCUGGUCUACAGGUUAACAGCGUCUCAAAGCAUAACAAUUUUUCUUUGUACAGAUCAAAAUGGAGUUUCUUUUGUCUUCCUUUUCUACAUAGGCACAGUAACAGUCUGAUCUCUCUUUCUUUUGGCUCACUGCAAGCUGUGCCUCCCAGGUUCACGUGAUUCUCCUGCCUCAGCCUCCUGAGUAGCUGGGAAUACAUGUGCCCGCCACGCAGCCAGGCUAAUUUUCUUUUUGUAUUUUUAGUAGAGUCUAUAUUUGAGUCCUUGUGGAUGAACUGUAACCUAGCUUAAUAGUCAGACAAAAUCAAAAACCUAACUUAAUAGUAUGCAUCAGUAACAAUAGCUGAGCAUUGGCCAAUCCCAGCGGCCAUACUUCAACCAUUCAUAGACCACUGACUAUUCAAGCUGCCUUCAACUAAGGCAAAUGCGGAGCUAUAACCAAUCUCACUGUUUCUGU
rnacentral:lncRNA from 1 species